GCCCGAUACAGGGGAAAUCCAACCUAUGAGUAUAAAAAAGGAAGGCUUCCGUGUGGGUUUCAGUUCACUUAUUGAAGUCGACCUGAUACAUACAUCAAGCCAGGAGAAAGUCUGGAUCAUUCUUUGCAUUUCUGAACGGACUAUUCCCCAUUUGAAACUACAAAGAUGCCGGUAGCAAGGAUGAAAAUGAGACCUUGGUUGGAGAGAAUGAUCGAGUCCAAUAAAGUUCCGGGACUCAGUUGGGUGGACAAGGACCAAAAGAUGUUCGCCAUCACCUGGAAGCAUGCUGCAAGACACGGCUGGCAGGUGGAGAAGGACGCCAGUCUGUUCAAACACUGGGCCAUUCAUACAGGGAAAUUCAAAGAAGGUGUAGACGAAUCAGACCCAAAGAAAUGGAAAGCCAACUUCCGCUGUGCCAUGAACUCACUGCCAGACGUUGAACAAGUGAAAAACAAGAAUGUCAACAAAGGCCAACAGGCGGUGCGGGUUUACAAGAUGGUGGAAGUCACCGCAACUAAAGACAGGCGGACCAAAACCAAGGAUGGAAAGAGACGGAACAAGUUAACAAAGGCCAGGUUGGAAGAGACAGACUUCAGUGACACACAAUCGUGUGAAGAUCAACAUCCACCCCAUUAUGACGACACAUGUUCCCCACAGGAAAACACAAUUGACAGCACAGAACAAGACAUGAUAUCUCUGCCUCUGAGUGCAUCUGAGGUACCGGAUUUUGAAAAUGUAAUCACGAUUGGGAACGACAGCAACAACGCAGAUUACUUCUACCGUAGAUUUGAAGUUUCGCCAGAACACUCACCAGAAUUUGAAGACGCAGAGGAGCUCUUAAAGGCUGACUCAAGCCAUGCUAUUUCAGCUAUGCCAGGAGCUGGAGCCAGAAACAAAUUGGAUGCAAAGCAGUUCAGAUGACCGGCUGAGCAGUGGCCUUCACUCAGACUCAAACUACAGCCCACACAGCCAAUGGAGUGACACAUCCUCAGGAGAGGACCUAGACAUGCGGCUAUACACCGACCUCAGCACAGGGACUGAAUGCUACUCACCUGAGACCUGGAACAUGUUCCCAACCCCCAUAUACCAACAGAUCAACUUCCAUCCCUGAAGCAUCUUGGACUAAGUGAGACUGAAGGACGCUGACUCACUGACAAUAAAGACAUGUGCUGGAUCCUACUAGCAUAAGGAACACAUCAUGUCCGCCUCUCCCUCCUCCUGAGCAUCGCUGUGGAAACAGACUUUAAGAUGGGUUAAAAAAAGGUUUUUCUUCAGUUCAGGGAAAAGAAUCCUCACAACUGCAUCCACUUCUUGGUUUUCUAAAGAGGGAAAAAAAAUGGUGCCUCUUGUCUCAGCAAACUUUCUAUAUAUUGUCGCAGGCAGCAUUAUUAAAUACAUUAAACAGCUAAUAGUUUUGCAAAGGUUCCAUGUCAUGCAAGUGCUUAUGUUAUUUUGAUGCCAACCAUUUUGGUUUAUGUACAAAGUUGUAAUAUAAGAUUUUAAUGUAAAAUAAAAACCUUUAUACUGUGA